UGCCAUGAAAUCUCUGUGGCGCCUCGGAGCAUCUUUGGUGGGGAGCGAUGACCCUGUGCGGGCGCACAGUAAUCCUGACCUCCACAGGGAUGCGAACACAAAAACAUGAAACUUGUCUGUAUUGUCAGAGGCUACUUAUCCCCCGAGCACUCUAUCUUGUACAGAAUUUUGGCAACACAGGACCCGAAGACCCAAUGACCACAUCUUCCACUGUACUCAAAAUAUGGCAAGUUGAAGCAAGUGGUUAACCUAUCUGUAAGUAUUUAUUUCUUUUAAAUCUAAACUUGAUUUGAAGGAUUUCUUUAAGCAGUCCUAUUAUUAGUCUUAUUGCUAAUUUUAAAAAAGAUUUUAUUUAUUUAUUUGACACAGAGAGAGAGAGAGAGACAGUGAGAGAGGGAACACAAGCAGGGGGAGUGGGAGAGGGAGAAACAGGCUCCCCGCCAAGGAGGGAUCCCAACUCAGGACUCGAUCCCAGGACGCUGGGAUCAUGACCUGAGCCGAAGGCAGAGGCUUAACCCACUGCGCCGCCCAGGCGCCCUCUUAUUGCUAAUUUUAUCGUGCUACCCAAAGUGAGCACUAGGGAUGGAAUUUUCAAGAUUUUCUGUGAUAAAAUGAAUCUUCUAAUUCCCCCGAUUGAGUGACUCUACAUGUGUGGUCCAGGCUUGAAUUUUAUAUUCUCAGGAGCUCUUUUCCUAUUUCCUAAAAUGCCUUUUUCCGUGUCUUACACCUCUGUCAAAGGUCUUCUUCACGGGCGGUAAAGGUGGUCCAGCGACCUUCUCGGAUGAGCUCUCCGGGAUGCUAAUGGGAAGGGCUGGGGGGAGCGCGGAGAGGUCAGCUCUUUGCCUUCCGUGGAAGGUCGCGUGUGGGGUUCUGACCUGCUGCGUCGCCUUAGACCAGACAGCGAGCCUCUCUGUGCCUCAUGUUCCUGUCUGCACGAGUUGACCUCUCUCUGUUUGCUGUAGGGCCGGAGGUCUUCCCCGGGGUUCUGCAUCCUGUUCUCACUAACCAAUGCCGACUGGCAAUUGGCCAGUUCUGUUCACUGUGAAACAGACCUAAUGAUGCCACGAGAGGAGUCAGCCUUGCCUGUGACCUUGUUGCCAAUUCCUUUAAGAUUUUACUUUAAUUCCCAUGAGUUCACGUACGGGUGUCGUGUUAGUUUCAGACGCGCCCCGGAGCGAUGCAGCCCGUCCUGCCCCAGGG
rnacentral:lncRNA from 1 species